rnacentral:rRNA from 2 species
GGCGCGCAAAUUACCCACUCCCGGCACGGGGAGGUAGUGACGAAAAAUAACGAUACGGGACUCAUCCGAGGCCCCGUAAUCGGAAUGAGUACACUUUAAAUCCUUUAGCAAGGAUCAAUUGGAGGGCAAGUCUGGUGCCAGCAGCCGCGGUAAUUCCAGCUCCAAUAGCGUAUAUUAAAGUUGUUGCGGUUAAAAAGCUCGUAGUCGAAUUUGUGUCUCAUGCCGCUGGUUCAUCGUUCGCGGUGUAAACUGGCGUGACAUGGGACGUCCUGCCGGUGGGUUUAGCUCCUAAGGGGGCGGCCCUAUAUAAUCCUGCCGCGUUGCUCUUAAUCGAGUGUCGAGGUGGGCCGGCUCAUUUACUUUGAACAAAUUAAAGUGCUUAAAGCAGGCUAAAAUUUUGCCUGAAUAUGUGUGCAUGGAAUAAUGGAAUAGGACCUCGGUUCUAUUUUGUUGGUUUUAGGAACACGAGGUAAUGAUUAAUAGGAACGGAUGGGGGCAUUCGUAUUGCGACGUUAGAGGUGAAAUUCUUGGAUCGUCGCAAGACGAACAUAAGCGAAAGCAUUUGCCAAAAACGUUUUCAUUGAUCAAGAACGAAAGUUAGAGGUUCGAAGGCGAUCAGAUACCGCCCUAGUUCUAACCAUAAACGAUGCCAGCCAGCGAUCCGCCGAUGUUCCUCCGAUGACUCGGCGGGGAGCUUCCGGGAAACCAAAGCUUUUGGGUUCCGGGGGAAGUAUGGUUGCAAAGCUGAAACUUAAAGGAAUUGACGGAAGGGCACCACCAGGAGUGGAGCCUGCGGCUUAAUUUGACUCAACACGGGAAACCUCACCAGGCCCAGACACUGGAAGGAUUGACAGAUUGAGAGCUCUUUCUUGAUUCAGUGGGUGGUGGUGCAUGGCCGUUCUUAGUUGGUGGAGCGAUUUGUCUGGU